rnacentral:misc_RNA from 1 species
UCCGGUUUGUCACCGGCAGUCUCAUUAGAGUGCCCAACUGAAUGUAGCAACUAAUGACAAGGGUUGCGCUCGUUGCGGGACUUAACCCAACAUCUCACGACACGAGCUGACGACAGCCAUGCAGCACCUCGGCUGGCUCCCUUGCGGGUCGCCCAAUCUUUCAAUCGGACUACUACCAGUCGUUCGAGCCCAGGUAAGGUUCUUCGCGUAGUGUCGAAUUAAACCACAUGUUCCACCGCUUGUGCGGACCCCCGUCAAUUCUUUUGAGUUUUAGCCUUGCGACCAUACUCCCCAGGCGGAGUACUUAACACAUUUGCUCCGGCAGGGCUGGCAUUGGACCAACCCUACCCAGUACUCAUCGUUUACAGCUAGGACUAC